rnacentral:rRNA from 1 species
UACGAAGGGGGCUAGCGUUGCUCGGAUUUACUGGGCGUAAAGGGCGCGUAGGCGGACACUUAAGUCAGGGGUGAAAUCCCGGGGCUCAACCUCGGAACUGCCUUUGAUACUGGGUGUCUUGAGUGUGAGAGAGGUGUGUGGAACUCCGAGUGUAGAGGUGAAAUUCGUAGAUAUUCGGAAGAACACCAGUGGCGAAGGCGACACACUGGCUCAUUACUGACGCUGAGGCGCGAAAGCGUGGGGAGCAAACAGGAUUAGAUACCCUGGUAGUCCACGCCGUAAACGAUGAUUGCUAGUUGUCGGGAAGUUUACUUCUCGGUGACGCAGCUAACGCAUUAAGCAAUCCGCCUGGGGAGUACGGUCGCAAGAUUAAA